rnacentral:rRNA from 1 species
GCAGUCGAGCGCAAUGGAUUAAGAGCUUGCUCUUAUGAAGUUAGCGGCGGACGGGUGAGUAACGCGUGGGUAACCUGCCCAUAAGACUGGGAUAACUCCGGGAAACCGGGGCUAAUACCGGAUAACAUUUUGAACCGCAUGGUUCGAAAUUGAAAGGCGGCUUCGGCUGUCACUUAUGGAUGGACCCGCGUCCCAUUAGCUAGUUGGUGAGGGAACGGCUCACCAAGGCAACGAUGCGUAGCCGACCUGAGAGGGUGAUCGGCCACACUGGGACUGAGACACGGCCCACACUCCUACGGGAGGCAGCAGUAGGGAAUCUUCCGCAAUGGACGAAAGUCUGACGGAGCAACGCCGCGUGAGUGAUGAAGGCUUUCGGGUCGUAAAACUCUGUUGUUAGGGAAGAACAAGUGCUAGUUGAAUAAACUGGCACCUUGACGGUACCUAACCAGAAAGCCACGGCUAACUACGUGCCAGCAGCCGCGGUAAUACGUAGGUGGCAAGCGUUAUCCGGAAUUAUUGGGCGUAAAGCGCGCGCAGGUGGUUUCUUAAGUCUGAUGUGAAAGCCCACGGCUCACCCGUGGAGGGUCAUUGGAAACUGGGAGACUUGAGUGCAGAAGAGGAAAGUGGAAUUCCAUGUGUAGCGGUGAAAUGCGUAUAGAUAUGGAGGAACACCGGUGGCGAAGGCGACUUUCUGGUCUGUAACUGACACUGAGGCGCGAAAGCGUGGGGAGCAAACAGGAUUAGAUACCCUGGUAGUCCACGCCGUAAACGAUGAGUGCUAAGUGUUAAGAGGGUUUCCGCCCUCUUAGUGCUGAAGUUAACGCAU